rnacentral:lncRNA from 10 species
GUAGUCUUUGUUCUCAUUUAAACACUGAAUGGCCAUUGACUUCUUUUGAAAAAGAAAAAGAAAAAUGACAUCUUCUGUAACCAGAAGCACUCCAAGAACAACACUUUCAUUCAUGGACUUAACAACUACAUUAGAUCAUACCAGCCUGUCACUUCAAAGUCACCAGUGUCAAGAACGUCAUGAGCACCAGGCUCUUCAUAGGCUACUGAAAUGAGGAAAGCUCUGACCCUCCACUCAAGAAGUUGCUACGCUGGAACAUUUCAAAUUGGCUUAAAGCAUUGUUUUGGAGGUGUGAAUAAUGAAGCCAAGGACAUUAGCAACAUCAUGAAAGCAGGCAUCAAGUGAAUAGAGAAGAUUCUAUGGAUGUAGAAGAGGUCCCUGGGUUUCCGAAUUGCCACUGGAUUGCCUCUAUCAAAUACACAAGAGUUUCAUGAUCACAGGGGACCCAAGAUUCUUGGACAGAAUUCUCGCCGGGAGCCAACUCAGCCUGAUCUGCUGGCAUCUCUCAAGUAUCAGAAGUCAACAAAAUGGUUUGCCUUGAAGACUUGGCCAGAGCAGCAGCCAAAGUUCAUAAGGCUUUCGUAGAGAGAUUG